UACGGAGGGUGCAAGCGUUAUCCGGAUUCACUGGGUUUAAAGGGUGCGUAGGCGGGCAGGUAAGUCCGUGGUGAAAUCUCUGAGCUUAACUCAGAAACUGCCAUGGAUACUAUUUGUCUUGAAUAUUGUGGAGGUAAGCGGAAUAUGUCAUGUAGCGGUGAAAUGCUUAGAUAUGGCAUAGAACACCAAUUGCGAAGGCAGCUUACUACACAGUUAUUGACGCUGAGGCACGAAAGCGUGGGGAUCAAACAGG
rnacentral:rRNA from 1 species